GGGGGGGGGGGCGAGCGUUGUUCGGAAUUACUGGGGCGUAAAGGGUGCGCAGGCGGCCUGGGAAGUCUUGGGGUGAAAGCCCCCCCAGCUCAACUGGGGAAUGGCCUGAGAAACCACUGGGCUGGAGUGCUGGAGAGGGAAGCGGAAUUCCCGGUGGAGCGGUGAAAUGCGUAGAUAUCGGGAGGAACACCAGAGGCGAAGGCGGCUUCCUGGACAGACACUGACGCUGAGGCACGAAAGACUAGGGGAGCAAACGGGAGUUAGAUACCCGGUACGUCCUAGCUGUAAACGAUGGAUACUAGAUGUGGGAGGUAAUUGAAGUCCUUCCGUGUCGGCGAUAACUCAAUAAGUAUCCCGCCUGGGGAGUACGGCCGCAAAGGCUG
rnacentral:rRNA from 1 species